AUAAGACGGAUUAGCGGCGGACGGGUGAGUAACACGUGAGUAACCUGCCUUUUACACAGGGAUAGCCUCGGGAAACCGGGAUUAAAACCUGAUGAAACUAUCAAAAUCACAUGAUUAAGAAAGUUAAAACUCCGGUGGUAAAAAGAUGGACUCGCGUCCCAUUAGCUAGUUGGUGAAGGUAACGGCCCACCAAGGCAACGAUGGGUAGCCGGCCUGAGAGGGUGAACGGCCACAUUGGAACUGAGACACGGCCCAGACUCCUACGGGAGGCAGCAGAU
rnacentral:rRNA from 1 species